rnacentral:rRNA from 1 species
UACGUAGGUGGCAAGCGUUAUCCGGAUUUAUUGGGCGUAAAGGGAACGCAGGCGGUCUUUUAAGUCUGAUGUGAAAGCCUUCGGCUUAACCGGAGUAGUGCAUUGGCAACUGGGAGACUUGAGUGCAGAAGAGGAGAGUGGAACUCCAUGUGUAGCGGUGAAAUGCGUAGAUAUAUGGAAGAACACCAGUGGCGAAAGCGGCUCUCUGGUCUGUAACUGACGCUGAGGUUCGAAAGCGUGGGUAGCAAACAGG